rnacentral:lncRNA from 1 species
CUUGAGACAGAUCAAGUCGGCUAGCUUUGCAUUUAAUUUCCAGAUCUUGAAUCGUACCAAGAAACGUGUCUAUUACUCGAUUAUUUAUCAUCAAGAGGAUUGAUUAAUGUGUUGUUCAUGUAGCAGCGUUGGUGUGUGUUCAAUACAGAGAAAAGAGAUCAUCUUGGGUUUGUACUCGAAGCAAGGAACCAGGAUAUCAGAAGACAAUAGAAAAUGAGAUAUGUUAGAGAAGACAAGAUCUUCAAAGUGUGAUCUCUUGGAUUAAAGUCAGCCUUGCAUGGGAAAACCAGAUCUGUGCAAAGCUCAUCAAGUGCAGAAAGCCACAAAAUUCUCCAAGAGCACAGAAUUUUAAGCAACCCCACACCAAUCUGCAGGAGGAAGUCCAAACUUGAUUGCUUGGGAUAGAAUAAGGUGCAGUGUAUCCAACGCAUGGCUUAUUUAGCUCAGGAAGACACCAAGCCCCAUACCCACACCACCACCACCCAACAAAAGGCAACAGAGUCAUGUUGAACGAGACAACCUCUUCCAUAUCAUGAUCGAAGUCCCCUUUUCCAUCCUAGUGUCGAGAGAUCAUGAGAGGUAGCAAUUGAACUCUCCUUCCUUUUUCUUUGGUCAAGCCACCCAUGAACCCUGAUCUCUAUAGGAUAUGAAGCCCAUGUUGUGUUUCUUUAACUCCUCUUUCUUGGUAAACGAUAGAUUUGCCACCUACUUUUGUUUCUUUUGCACAUGGAGGAACCUUCAGUUCAUGGCUUCGUCUGUUGACAGGCUCAAGGCUGAGAUACUCGAGGCUUUCUUCCCAGAUCGAUCUCAGGCAAGUCCUUGGCGAUCGAGAGCGAGAGGCUGUUGUUUCCUGGAGACUUAGAUGAAUCUUGACGUCUUGACGGGAAAGCUAGCUGUGGUAUGGACAGAGGAGGUAGGAGACCGAGGCGGUUGCGCUCACAAGUGAAUGGCUCCAAGGCAUUGGAUUCGAGCUACUUCACUGCGGAAUUCUUCUUGGUGCUCGUCUGCCUCACUGCCUCACUGCUGGUUCUUCCCCUCGUCUUGCCCGCACUGCCUCCUCCCCCUUCCUCGCUGCUGUUUGUGCCGAUAGGUAUACUUCUUGUGCUGCUGGUCUUGGCCUUCAUGCCGUCCGAUGCUGGGGACAUCGCCUCUUCCCACUUGUGAGCAGCUAAAAGCUUUCCAUUAUGGAUCAAACUGUUCAUUUCUUCUUCUACUCCUCGGUUUCAAUGAAGGCACUAUCGCUUCCGGUGGUUGUUUGAGAUAGUUCAUUCCUGAAUCAUUCGGAUGUGGUUUGGCCAUGAGUUGUAAUCUAAGCUAACCAUAACAUUCUUGUGAGGCAUGCGCAAUCAAAGUGACAAAUUCUGAGAGAACUCAUCAGCAAAUCUUACCGUGAUGUGAUGAUUGAUGUUCAUGGCCACUUAAAAAUAAGCUCUAAAAUUUAUUCUUCACCAUGUCUCAGUCAAAUGUUCAUUGUAAAGCAGCCAGUGACUCGGUUGAACAUACCAGUUAGAGGUAGUCAUUCGUAGCUAUUCUGGAUUGUAAGUUUCUUGGAAACUGCCUAUACUAGUAAAAUACUUGAAGCUUUGUGAGUAUGCAUGUAUCUUAUGUGGAGAUUCUCCGUCGUGUGCGUAUCACAUAUGCUCGAACACAUGGGAGCAGGUAGGUGUUCUUGCAUCACGUUCGGUCAAAAGUGUUCUGUGUUGCAAGAAUGACACCUUUUAAUGGAAUUUUAAUUUUCAUUCAGCAAUCACGUAAGAUAUUACGACGUGAGUUCAAACCCUCAACCCGAGGGAAAAGAAACAAGUGAGGUUGAAAUCUGCAGCACGGCCGACAGGGUGUGUUGCAUCAAAAAUAUACGAGUACCUUACAAGGAAAAAAAAAUCAUCUUAAUUUUAGUCAACACAACCAAAAAUAUGUUCUGGAGGCAGCAAAAGCCUGUCCACUGUUGUUCUUUUUAAUUGAAAUACAAGCAGAAUUAACCUGCUGC